UGCUUAUAUAUAGGUGUUCUAAUGUGUCAAACUCAAGAUUCAGCCAUGUUUGAUUUAGCACUUGAAGUCGAAUGAGUUUGUUUAUAAACAAACUAUGAGUAGCUGGAGUUAUUUUUUCUCUUUGAAUGUGAAAUGCAGAAAGCAUUCUGGAGUAAAAGUAAAAACACGGACAGUAAUAUCGCCUAUCAAACAAGCUCCUCAGCCGAACUAUCAAAACCGUAAGUGCGUGAGAAGCCACAGCAGGAACUAAUGUCGUGCAUUAUGUUGAGCGAGCUAUGUUCUGGAUGCAUUACGAUCGGGUCAGAUCCCUGACGGUAGCCGGUAACGGACAGUAACAAUCUUUAAUUGAUGGAGUUUAGCCGAAUUGAAGGUUAGCACUAGAUUCAAUCGAAAUUCGUGAUCCAGCACAACUAUAAACAAUGCACUCUUCACGAGGUUCAAUUACUUAACGGAGGUUCCAAUUAGGGAAAAUUAGUGAUUAGCAUAAGAUUGCUCGAAUAUUUUACGUUUAGUAUUGUUGGUGUUUCCAGUGUAAUAAUAUACCAAUAAAAUAUAUUCAGAUAGUCGUUGCCCAUGCAGCGGAAGUGAAAUCAAUAAAAAGUGUUUUGGAAGUUUGGAUCACGGAGUAAUUUAAGGAUCUGUUUGGUAAAAGGAAACAAACAUGAGAUCUUCAAUUAUCGGCAAUCAGUAAUCAGUAUCAGUUUGGUGAUGUCAACUCUAAAUGGAAUUUUAAAACGGUUGAAAUGAAGAAUUUGUAUUAUACUUUAUAGUUUUACAGUAGAAAUAGAUUUUACUGUCAAAAUAGAUUUACCAAUGAUUGGCUUAUUUAGAGCUUAAUUUCAUGUACUUUUUAACCAGAUGCCUUUUGUUUUCGGUCCACUUUCGUUGAAGAGGUUGACGAUAUGAAUGUUGGCUGGAUCGUGUUGGC